rnacentral:sRNA from 1 species
CGCGCAUUCUUUUUGCAAUGGUUUCAUCGUCGGUCAAAACCGACGAAACGAGGACCUGAAGCCCCUUUGUCUUACCCCGAUUUUAUCAGCUGUGGCCGUGGUUGUGUUCAACAGGCACGGUAAUAUCGGGCAUUUAGGCUGAGAAGCAAGGUCUCAUGAAACAUUUCGAUACCCGAAACGUGAUUCGAAACCAUUUCUCUUCUUCCCUAUCUCUGUCAGCAGGUGCGCUAGCUAGCACAAAAAAAAAUUUUUUUUUUUUGGAUCUCAGGUUGAAAGUCAGGCUGCCAUUUCGGAAAGCUUUGGGUGCAUGCUUGCUCGCCGCAAAUUGAGCCCAUGGAAAGUAUCAGUGUGGAGAUCCCCGCGGUUUUCUAACUGCGUACACGCUUCGUGUUCAAUGCCUAAACUUCCCCCUGAAAGGAAAUAUUCUCCGCUUGAAUACUAGGGUCCCUGAACUCAGCAAGAGUGAAGGAAGGGAUUGAGGAGCGGUGAAAGCUGCUUUCUCGUGGUCAAAGCUGAAAUGACCCUAUUCGGACCGGCGCGGAUAUGCAAAUCGCUGCCAUUUGAUUGAUAUUUUCCCGACUUCUUUCCGAUAGAUAGUGUCUACGAGGAGGACCUCUUUGAAGCUUUGGAGAGCCAAUUCUACUGCCUCAAUGCUUAAAUUUCAGUUUCUACUAGUAUUUAUUAUAUCAAUU